rnacentral:rRNA from 1 species
AUGGCGAUGGUCCAUGAGGCGAGGCAGGGCCGGCGAGGGCGCCGGGUGCGGCACGUUCGGCUGGGGUCGCUGCUCCGGCUGCGGGUGCGGCUGUUCCGGCUCGCCGGCCUCGUCGUCCGGUGCAUGGAGGAGCUCAGGUGCUGCCCUGGGAUAAGGAGGCGGCCCGCGCCGAGAUCAGCGGCACGGCCGGCGGCGCUGCGGGGGAGGCAGAGCUCGGCUUCCUUCCAUGCCGACCAGGCCAUUGCUGACUGCUUGGAGUUCAUCAAGAGGUCCUACCUGCAGCAGCAGCAGCAGCCUGUGCAGGAUGACGACCAUACGACUUUUAGCUCGUAG